rnacentral:tRNA from 4 species
CGGGGUGUAGCGCAGUUGGUAGCGCGCUUGGUUCGGGACCAAGAGGCCGUGGGUUCAAAUCCCGUCACUCCGA